rnacentral:rRNA from 1 species
AAUACGUUCCCGGACCUUGUACACACCGCCCGUCAAGCCAUGGGAGUUGGGUGUACCUGAAGACGAUAACCGCAAGGAGUUGUCCAAGAUAAAACCAGUAACUGGGGCU